rnacentral:rRNA from 1 species
GACGAACGCUGGCGGCGUGCCUAAUACAUGCAAGUCGAACGCAUUUUCUUUCACCGUAGCUUGCUACACCGAAAGAAAAUGAGUGGCGAACGGGUGAGUAACACGUGGGUAACCUGCCCAUCAGCGGGGGAUAACACUUGGAAACAGAUGCUAAUACCGCAUAAUUCCAUUUACCGCAUGGUAGAUGGAUGAAAGGCGCUUUUGCGUCACUGAUGGAUGGACGCGCGGUGCAUUAGCUGGUUGGUGGGGUAACGGCCUACCAAGGCUGCGAUGGUUAGCCGACCUGGGAGGCUGAUCGGCCAAACUGGGACUGAGACACGGCCCAGACUCCUACGGGAGGCAGCAGUAGGGAAUCUUCGGCAAUGGACGCAAGUCUGACCGAGCAACGCCGCGUGAGUGAAGAAGGUUUUCGGAUCGUAAAACUCUGUUGUUAGAGAAGAACAAGGAUGAGAGUGGAAAGUUCAUCCCUUGACGGUAUCUAACCAGAAAGCCACGGCUAACUACGUGCCAGCCGCCGCCGUAAUAC